AGAACGAACGUUAGCGGUGUGGCUUAGGCAUGCAAGUCGAGCGUGAAAGGCGCAAGCCGAGUAAAGCGGCGAAAGGGUGAGUAACACGUAACCAAUCUACCCAUGAGACUGGAAUAACCACUGGAAACGGUGGGUAAUGCCAGAUGGUCCACUCGGAAGCAUUUCCGGGCUGGUAAACGGUGGCGCAAGCUGCUGCUCUAGGAGGAGGUUGCGGGCUAUCGAGCUAGUUGGUGGGUAAGUGGCUCACCAAGGCGAUGACGGCUACCGGGUCUGGAGAGGACGGUCCGGCACACGUGGGACUGAGACACGUCGCCCAGACCUCCGUACGGGACGGCUGCAGGUCGAGAAGUCUUACCGCAAGUGGGACGAAAGCCGUAGACGAGCCGACACCGUCG
rnacentral:rRNA from 1 species